CUACGGGAGGCAGCAGUAGGGAAUCUUCCGCAAUGGGCGAAAGCCUGACGGAGCAACGCCGCGUGAGUGAUGAAGGUCUUCGGAUCGUAAAACUCUGUUAUUAGGGAAGAACAUAUGUGUAAGUAACUGUGCACAUCUUGACGGUACCUAAUCAGAAAGCCACGGCUAACUACGUGCCAGCAGCCGCGGUAAUACGUAGGUGGCAAGCGUUAUCCGGAAUUACUGGGCGUAAAGCGCGCGUAGGCGGUUUGUUAAGUCUGAUGUGAAAGCCCACGGCUCAACCGGGGAGGGUCAUUGGAAACUGGAAAACUUGAGUGCGGAAGAGGAAAGUGGAAUUCCAUGUGUAGCGGUGAAAUGCGCAGAGAUAUGGAGGAACACCAGUGGCGAAGGCGACUUUCUGGUCUGUAACUGACGCUGAUGUGCGAAAGCGUGGGGAUCAAACAGGAUUAGAUACCCUGGUAGUCC
rnacentral:rRNA from 1 species